GUGGGGAAUCUUAGACAAUGGGGGAAACCCUGAUCUAGCCAUGCCGCGUGAGCGAUGAAGGCCUUAGGGUUGUAAAGCUCUUUCGCCAGGGACGAUAAUGACGGUACCUGGAUAAGAAGCCCCGGCUAACUUCGUGCCAGCAGCCGCGGUAAUACGAAGGGGGCUAGCGUUGUUCGGAAUCACUGGGCGUAAAGCGCACGUAGGCGGAUCUUUAAGUCAGGGGUAAAAUCCCGAGGCUCAACCUCGGAACUGCCUUUGAUACUGGGGAUCUCGAGUCCGGGAGAGGUGAGUGGAACUGCGAGUGUAGAGGUGAAAUUCGUAGAUAUUCGCAGGAACACCAGUGGCGAAGGCGGCUCACUGGCCCGGUACUGACGCUGAGGUGCGAAAGCGUGGGGAGCAAACAGGAUUAGAAACCCGAGUAGUCC
rnacentral:rRNA from 1 species